rnacentral:rRNA from 1 species
AUUGAACGCUAGCGGCAUGCCUUACACAUGCAAGUCGAACGCGUGGCGGACGGGUGAGUAAUAUUUCGGAAUCUGCCCACUAGCGGGGGAUAACUACGCGAAACAGUGGCUAAUACCGCAUACUCUCGGAUGCGCCCAUAUGGGAUUAGCUAGUUGGUGGGGUAAAGGCUCACCAAGGCGACGAUCCCUAGCUGGUUUGAGAGGAUGACCAGCCACACUGGGACGGAGACACGGCCGAGACUCCUACGGGAGGCAGCAGUGGGGAAUUGUGAACAAGGCGGGAAACCCGGAGACAGACAUGCCGCGUGUAUGAAGAAGGCCUUCGGGUUGUAAAGUACUUUGGGUGGAGAGGCGUUAUCCGCAGAAGAAGCACCGGCUAACUCAGUGCCAGCAGCCGCGGUAAUAC